CUCCCUACUCAGCACUUGGGAGAGUACGAUUCAGCCACCAAGAGAGUCAAUCCCUGCCCACGACGGGCACAAAGGCCACCAAGGGGAAGAAAGACGUCAAAAAAAGGAAAGUGCUCUGCACAGAGAAGCGGAGGUAAACCAAGCCGGGAGAAGCCGGAGGCAGGGAGAGGAUAAGGAGGCCGAUGUCGAGGCCGAGUCCGACGGGCACGUGGAGCGGCGUGGUCGCAACCGGAGAGGGAGGAGUCCGAGGACGUCACCAAGGUAGAAGGGGCGGGAUCCGGCGACCGGCCGCGUACGCGGGCCGAACGCAAGAUGAGUCGAGGACAAGGCCUCUAGAUCUUCGGCUUGUGGGACGAGGAGGGCGGUGACGUCCGCAGGGAAGGGGCGAGUCGGAGGUGGAGGUUUCCAAGGGGAAGAUGAGCGAUGGCGCUCCGGACGCGGUGAGUCGGAAGUCAGUGCGGGACAUCCAGGUUGAGGUGUCCCGAAGGCAGGAGGAAACCCAAGACUGGAGAGGCUGGAGCCUUGGGAAUUAGCCACUUAAGAGACCAGGGCAAUUUCGGGAGUCGUUUGUUUGGACGCGGCUCCCCGGGGGCAGCGACGCCGGCCUCUACACGCAGACGCUCAACUGGACCACCGCACCCGGCUGGCUCUUGAUGCCAGAUCGGGCGUUGGAUCCCUUAGCCGCAGAUGGAGAGAAAAGGGACCCGUCUGUUUUCAUCAGACAGGGUUCGGAGGAGGAAAAGAUGCAAGGCCACCGUCGGGGAGAGGGGCCGUCGGCGCCCCCGUCCCGGGGCCGCCGUCUGGCUCGGCCGCGCCCGAGCAGCAGCUGUCCCCCGCGGGUCAGGCCCGUUUCCCAACGGAGACAAAGGCAACGAGAGGCUGACUUAUAAUAAUUUUAAUUUAUCUUGCAUUGUACAGAACUCUAGGAACGGUUUUAAAAAAAGCACCUCCCUUCCCCUGUGUUUCUGUGGCCGGCGG